UACCCAAUCCUGAAAAGCGA
rnacentral:misc_RNA from 1 species